rfam:Pantoea dispersa strain SA5 contig_7, whole genome shotgun sequence.
AAUGACAACAGACUCCCAAGCCUUGCGUUCCUAAGUCGUGUGAUAUGGAUGCCUGGCCGCAGCCGCGAGCUGCCAGGGUGCAGAAAGAAAUGACUGCAUCUCCCGUACUUUGGAAAGGUGUUCAGGUGCCACAAUUU